rnacentral:rRNA from 1 species
GAUGAACGCUGGCGGCGUGCUUAACACAUGCAAGUCGAACGAUGAAAGCGGGAGCUUGCUCCUGCUGGAUUAGUGGCGAACGGGUGAGUAACGCGUGAGCAAUCUGCCCCGAACUCUGGGAUAUGCGUUGGAAACGACGUCUAAUACCGGAUACGACGCGCGAAGGCAUCUUCUGCGCGUGGAAAGAACUUCGGUUCGGGAUGAGCUCGCGGCCUAUCAGCUAGUUGGUGAGGUAACGGCCCACCAAGGCGACGACGGGUAGCCGGCCUGAAAGGGUGACCGGCCACACUGGGACUGAGACACGGCCCAGACUCCUACGGGAGGCAGCAGUGGGGAAUAUUGCACAAUGGGCGCAAGCCUGAUGCAGCAACGCCGCGUGAGGGACGACGGCCUUCGGGUUGUAAACCUCUUUUAGUAGGGAAGAAGCGAAAGUGACGGUACCUGCAGAAAAAGCACCGGCUAACUACGUGCCAGCCGCCGCGGUAAAAC